rnacentral:rRNA from 1 species
UGCAGUCGAGCGGCAGCGACAUGACUGAACCUUCGGGGGACGUUAUGGGCGGCGAGCGGCGGACGGGUGAGUAAUGCCUGGGAAUAUGCCCUGAUGUGGGGGAUAACCAUUGGAAACGAUGGCUAAUACCGCAUAAUCUCUUCGGAGCAAAGAGGGGGACCUUCGGGCCUCUCGCGUCAGGAUUAGCCCAGGUGGGAUUAGCUAGUUGGUGGGGUAACGGCUCACCAAGGCGACGAUCCCUAGCUGGUCUGAGAGGAUGAUCAGCCACACUGGAACUGAGACACGGUCCAGACUCCUACGGGAGGCAGCAGUGGGGAAUAUUGCACAAUGGGGGAAACCCUGAUGCAGCCAUGCCGCGUGUGUGAAGAAGGCCUUCGGGUUGUAAAGCACUUUCAGNNGUGAGGAAGGGNUUNCAGUUAAUAGCUGUACUNUUUGACGUUAGCGACAGAAGAAGCACCGGCUAACUCCGUGCCAGCAGCCGCGGUAAUACGGAGGGUGCGAGCGUUAAUCGGAAUUACUGGGCGUAAAGCGCAUGCAGGCGGUCUGUUAAGCAAGAUGUGAAAGCCCGGGGCUCAACCUCGGAACAGCAUUUUGAACUGGCAGACUAGAGUCUUGUAGAGGGGGGUAGAAUUUCAGGUGUAGCGGUGAAAUGCGUAGAGAUCUGAAGGAAUACCGGUGGCGAAGGCGGCCCCCUGGACAAAGACUGACGCUCAGAUGCGAAAGCGUGGGGAGCAAACAGGAUUAGAUACCCUGGUAGUCCACGCCGUAAACGAUGUCUACUUGGAGGUUGUGGCCUUGAGCCGUGGCUUUCGGAGCUAACGCGUUAAGUAGACCGCCUGGGGAGUACGGUCGCAAGAUUAAAACUCAAAUGAAUUGACGGGGGCCCGCACAAGCGGUGGAGCAUGUGGUUUAAUUCGAUGCAACGCGAAGAACCUUACCUACUCUUGACAUCCAGAGAACUUUCCAGAGAUGGAUUGGUGCCUUCGGGAACUCUGAGACAGGUGCUGCAUGGCUGUCGUCAGCUCGUGUUGUGAAAUGUUGGGUUAAGUCCCGCAACGAGCGCAACCC